UACGGGGGGGGCAAGCGUUGUUCGGAAUUACUGGGCGUAAAGGGCUCGUAGGUGGCCAACUAAGUCAGACGUGAAAUCCCUCGGCUUAACCGGGGAACUGCGUCUGAUACUGGGUGGCUUGAGUUUGGGAGAGGGACGCGGAAUUCCAGGUGUAGCGGUGAAAUGCGUAGAUAUCUGGAGGAACACCGGUGGUGUAGACGGCUCACUGGACCGUAACUGACGCUGAGACACGAAAGCGUGGGUAGCAAACAGG
rnacentral:rRNA from 1 species